AGAGUUUGAUCCUGGCUCAGGAUGAACGCUGGCGGCGUGCCUAAUACAUGCAAGUCGAGCGGUAAGGCCUCUUCGGAGGUACACGAGCGGCGGACGGCUGAGUAACACGUAGGAACGUACCCCAAACUGAGGGAUAAGCACCAGAAAUGGUGUCUAAUACCGCAUGUGCUCUAAGGAGUAAAGCUUCGGCGGUUUGGGAACGGCCUGCGCACGAUUAGAUAGUUGGUGAGGUAAUGGCUCACCAAGUCGACGAUCGUUAGCUGGUCUGAGAGGAUGAUCAGCCAGACUGGGACUGAGAACGGCCCAGACUCCUACGGGAGGCAGCAGUAGGGAAUUUUCCACAAUGGGGGCAACCCUGCCUUCGGGUUGUAAACUGCUUUUAUAUGUGACGAAUAUGACGGUAGCAUAUGAAUAAGGAUCGGCUAACUCCGUGCCAGCAGCCGCGGUCAUACGGAGGAUCCAAGCGUUAUCCGGAAUUACUGGGCGUAAAGAGUUGCGUAGGUGGCAGAGUAUGUCUGUAGUGAAAGCGUGUGGCUCAACCAUAUACACAUUACAGAAACUGCUCAGCUAGAGGACGAGAGAGGUUAUUGGAAUUCCUAGUGUAGGAGUGAAAUCCGUAGAUAUUAGGAGGAACACCGAUGGCGUAGGCAGAUAACUGGCUCGUUCCUGACACUAAGGCACGAAAGCGUGGGGAGCAAACGGGAUUAGAUACCCCGGUAGUCCACGCCGUAAACGAUGAAUGCUAGCUGUUAUGGGUAUCGACCCCCGUAGUAGCGAAGCUAACGCGUUAAGCAUUCCGCCUGUGGAGUACGGUCGCAAGACUAAAACAUAAAGGAAUUGACGGGGACCCGCACAAGCGGUGGAGCGUGUUGUUUAAUUCGAUGGUAAACGAAGAACCUUACCCAGGCUUGACAUCCAUGGAAUUUUUCCGAAAGGAAAGAGUGCUUUAUUGAACCAUGUGACAGGUGUUGCAUGGCCGUCGUCAGCUCGUGUCGUGAGAUGUUUGGUUAAGUCCAUCAACGAGCGCAACCCUUAUGGUCUGUUGUAUUUCUCAGGCCAGACUGCCCCGGUAACGGGGAGGAAGGAGGGGAUGAUGUCAGGUCAGUAUUACCCUUACGUCUGGGGCUACAAACACGCUACAAUGGCCGGUACAAAGGGCAGCCAAAGCGCAAGCUGGAGCAAAUCCCAUCAAAGCCGGUCUCAGUUCGGAUAGCAGGCUGAAACUCGCCUGCUUGAAGCCGGAAUCGCUAGUAACGGUAGGUCAGCUAUACUACCGUGAAUACGUUCCCGGGUCUUGUACACACCGCCCGUCAAACCAUGAAAGUCACCAAUACCUGACGUGUUGCCUUCGCGCAGCCCUAAGGUAGGGGGGAUGAUUGGGGUUAAGUCGUAACAAGGUAUCCGUACGGGAA
rnacentral:rRNA from 1 species